UUCAGUCAGUUAGGUAAACACAACCUGAGAAGAUUGAAACAUUCAGUCAGCUAGGUAAACAAAACCUGAGAAGACCGAAACAUUCAGUCACCUAGGUAAACACAACCUGAGAAGACCGAAACAUUCAGUCAGCUAGGUAAACACAACAUGAGAAGACAGAAACAUUCAGUCAGCUAGGUAAACACAACAUGAGAAGACAGAAACAUUCAGUCAGUCAGGUAAACACAACAUGAGAAUAUAGAAACAUUCAGUCAGUCAGGUAAACACAACAUGAGAAGACAGAAACAUUCAG
rnacentral:sRNA from 1 species